rnacentral:rRNA from 1 species
GAUGAACGCUGGCGGCGUGCUUAACACAUGCAAGUCGAGCGAAGCGCUUAAGAAUGAUUCUUCGGAUGAAUUCUUUUGCGACUGAGCGGCGGACGGGUGAGUAACGCGUGGAUAACCUGCCUCAUACAGGGGGAUAACAGUUAGAAAUGACUGCUAAUACCGCAUAAGCGCACAGUGCCGCAUGGCACCGUGUGAAAAACUCCGGUGGUAUGGGAUGGAUCCGCGUUGGAUUAGGCAGUUGGCGGGGUAACGGCCCACCAAACCGACGAUCCAUAGCCGGCCUGAGAGGGUGGACGGCCACAUUGGGACUGGGACACGGCCCAAACUCCUACGGGUGGCAGCAGUGGGGAAUAUUGCACAAUGGGGGAAACCCUGAUGCAGCGACGCCGCGUGAGUGAAGAAGUAAUUCGUUAUGUAAAGCUCUAUCAGCAGGGAAGAAAAUGACGGUACCUGACUAAGAAGCCCCGGCUAACUACGUGCCAGCCGCCGCCGUAACAC